GGGUGAGUAACACGUGGAUAACCUACCUAUAAGACUGGGAUAACUUCGGGAAACCGGAGCUAAUACAGGAUAAUAUAUUGAACCGCAUGGUUCAAUAGUGAAAGACGGUUUUGCUGUCACUUAUAGAUGGAUCCGCGCCGCAUUAGCUAGUUGGUAAGGUAACGGCUUACCAAGGCAACGAUGCGUAGCCGACAUGAGAGGGUGAUCGGCCACACUGGAACUGAGACACGGUCCAG
rnacentral:rRNA from 1 species